AGCGAACGCUGGCGGCAGGCCUAACACAUGCCAGUCGAACGAACCUUUCGGGGUUAGUGGCGGACGGGGGAGUAACACGUGGGAACGUGCCUUUAGGUUCGGAAUAACUCAGGGAAACUUGUGCUAAUACCGAAUGUGCCCUUCGGGGGAAAGAUUUAUCGCCUCUAGAGCGGCCCGCGUCGGAUUAGCUAGUUGGUUGAGGUAAUGGCUCACCAAGGCGACGUUCACUAGCUGGUCUGAGAGGAUGAUCAGCCACAUUGGGACUGAGACACGGCCCAAAAUCCUACGGGAGGCAGCAGUGGGGAAUCUUGCGCAAUGGGCGAAAGCCUGACGCAGCCAGGCCGCGUGAAUGAUGAAGGUCUUAGGAUUGUAAAAUUCUUUCAACGGGGACGAUAAUGACGGUACCCGGAGAAGAAGCCCCGGCUAACUUCGUG
rnacentral:rRNA from 1 species